rnacentral:sRNA from 1 species
CAGCAGCAGAGCUCCAAGCAACAUCUAGAGUUGAAUAACAGUAAAGAGGUUGCUGGCUACUCAAUUUAUAUGGACAACUACUUCACCUCUAUUGCUCUAUUCCAUUAUCUUUGAAAGCAAGGAAUUGGAGCCUGUGGAAUCACCCAUCCUGCCAAUCUACCACCUCUUCUACAAGAACUGAAAAGCUCUGGAUUAUCUACUCACAUUCCCUUCAAUACUCUCUGUAUAAUUCCUCAAAAUGAAGUUCUCUGUCUUGGAUGGAAAGAUAAUAAUAUAGUAUUACUACUGUCUACAAUUCAU